AGGUCCCUGGCAAAUGCCAGACAAGAACUGACACAGAAUUUCUUGGGACCCUGGCAGAGAGAAAGAGAGAAGCAGCAAACGGUGUUGGGAGCGUUUCUAUUGAAAAUGGAGUUGCUGAGAUAAGUUUUAACAGUAAGAAAGCAGCAAGUUCUCUAGGGUAUGACAGUCUGUGAGCACUAAAUGGGUCCUAUUUCUAUAUUGUGGCAUCAGUGGUGGAGUCUAUGGAAUGCUGCCGUGCAACCCACCUGGGUGCUUGGCACAUCCUAGGUUUUUUCCCCUCUCUUGUCACAUCAGAACCCCCUGGCAUCCUCAGGUCCAGAGGAACUUUGAGAAAAAGGAUUCCCAGUGAGACAAGCAAGCAGCUGGUGGGGAAGAGAGAAGAGGCCGCAGGCUGGAGAGGAGCAGGAGAAACCCCCCUGGCAUCACCAGGCCACCUGUGGGGAACAGAACGGACACUUUGGGAGUAAAAAGAGGAAAGGGACGCACAUCCCUGCCUUCAGCGCACCUCCAGUGGGACCCACCUGAAAAAGCUUUCCAUCACUUCUUCAUCAGCUUCCAGCUGGCUCCCUGAAAAACUCCAAACUUCAUCCAAAC